AUACAUGGAAGCAAAAUCUCAACUAUUUUGGAAGAGAUGCAUUUAUUAGAUAAAAAACCAAUACAUACUUUUUCAAGUAUGAAAUUAGGUGAUUUACAAUAACUUAGCAAAUCGCAUAGUGAAAACAGGCGAUAAAUCAUUCAAGUUUCUGACCUAUCAGCUUUCGACGGUAUGGUAUUGGCUUACCGUGGCAGUGACGGUUAACGGGGGAUUAGGGUUCGAUUCCGGAGAGGGAGCCUGAGAAACGGCUACCACAUCUAAGGAAGGCAGCAGGCGCGCAAAUUACCCAAUUCUAACAGCAUAAGAGAGGUAGUGACAAGAAAUAACAAUACAAGGCAGUUAAAAUGCUUUGUAAUUGGAAUGAUAGAAAUUUAAACACUUUUUAAAGUAUCAAUUGGAGGGCAAGUCUGGUGCCAGCAGCCGCGGUAAUUCCAGCUCCAAUAGCGUAUAUUAAAAUUGUUGCAGUUAAAAAGCUCGUAGUUGAAUUUCUGUUAAAAAUAACCGGUCUGCUUUUAAUAAAAGUGGUAUCUUGGUGUGUUUUUAGCAAUAAUGUCCUUUGAAAUGUUUUUUACUUUAUUGUAAUAAAUAAUAUUCAGGAUUUUUACUUUGAGAAAAUUAGAGUGUUUCUAGCAGGCUAACGCUUUGAAUACUGCAGCAU
rnacentral:rRNA from 1 species